GCAAUAGCCAAGGGAAUGAGUUGGAACAGGCAAAAGGGGCCCUGCAUUCUCCUCCACCACGAAAGAUCUUGGUCCUUCAGGGGCAAGCCAGCAUGAGGGAUGAAUGAAUACACAAGGGAGCAAGAACAGGGCUGGUGUUCAAGCCAGAAGGAAUUGGUCACAAAGAAAGGAUUGACAUUAACACUAAUGGGAAGGAGAUACUGCCAUGGUUUGCCCAAAAAUGAGACAGAACAUUUUCUGUCCUCCUGA